rnacentral:lncRNA from 1 species
GGAAACGCAGGGGAACAGGGCCUCGGAGCAGGCGGCCAAGCCCUCGGCCCCGGUCAGCAGCAAAGCCGGAAUGCCCCGGUAAUUUUGACACCUCGCGCUCUUCCCAAUUCCAAUUCAGCAGAAGUCCUCGGGCUCCGGCUCCGCCUCCGCCUCGCAGCCCCAUUUGCGUCUCACCCCGCUUCCGCCCCGCCGCUUGUGAGCCCGCCCCUCACCCUGACCCCGCCCCAUGACGCAAACUGGGCGUGGCCAGGCGCCGCGCGAGAGACAAGCAGUGCGUCCGGGCCGACGCCGGCUCCGAGCUCCUCCCAUGCCCGGCGGCCCGGAGUUGGCGCCUGCGCAGCUCGUCCCGGCCACGGUUGUUCCCCCUCCCCCCUCCCUAGCAACCGUCGUCGCGCCCGCCUCCGCCCACUCGGCCGCGUUCGCGCACGCGCGCCGCUUCCGGCCGCCGGCCCCGCCCUCCUCGUCACCCGUGACAACCACUCGAGCUCGCCGCGCCCGCGCGCUCCCGCCCCUCGGCCCACUCCCCGGAACCGGCGGCGGCGUUGCAGCCGCCGGCAGUGGAGGGCGACGGCCCCGAGGAGCCGCCGGCAUGAGCGCCCCCCGCCGCCCCGCUGCCCGGGCUCGGCCCUUCUGACAAGAGGUAGGCGCGCGUCGCGGCGGCGGGCUCCGGGCGUCCCCGGCCCGGCCCCUCCCGGCGGCGCGGGGCUCCGCGGCCGCCCCGCGCCCGGCCCGCCCUGCCCCGGCCCCUCGGUCCCCCGGCCCCCUCGGGCGGUCCGGCCGGAGCGGGCCCGCCUCCGGCCCGGGUCCACCGCCCGCAUCGCCGCUCCCACUGUGCUGGCCCCCCCCGCCAGUCUUCCCACUCCGGGACCCACCCCCCCUUGCGGUAGGCAGAGUUUGGGGGCCGAGCCUGUUCCUGGGGUCGCCCUGGGCCGGAGGCCCACCAGAGCCGCCGCGCUGGACCCCCUGACCGACCCUCGAGCCCGGCCGGCCCUCGAGCCCGCUGGAGAUGGACUCCCUGCUUCUGGCCAUUGA